rnacentral:lncRNA from 1 species
CCAUCUAGAAAUGAUUUUCGACAUCCGAAUAAGUCAAAUAUUUGCAAGGCAACAUUCAAGAAUCAUGGAGUAUGGUUACCGCAUAAUUCAUCUCUUUGACUUUGAAUGCUUAGGAUGACCUAGAGUUUAACUAUCAAUCCUAGAUUAGUUAUCCACAUUAUAUUUCAAUCUUUUUCAAAUCCUGUGACUAUCACAUAGAUUUCCCCAUCGAGAUCUUACUCAAUUAAAAUAUAUUGAUGCAUCAACUCCUGA